CCCUUAGAUGUUCUGGGCCGCACGCGUGCUACACUGAGUGGAUCAGCGGGUCAGGUUGCGCGAAAGCGUUUCCUAAUCUUUAAAUCCGCUCGUGAUGGGGAUUGACGGUUGCAAUUUUCUGUCAUGAACGAGGAAUACCUUGUAAGCGCGGGUCAUCAUCCGCGCUGAAUACGUCCCUGCCCUUUGUACACACCGCCCGUCGCUCCUACCGAUUGAGUGGUCCGGUGAGGCUUUGGGAUCUGAGCGGAAAGAGCGUUUCGCUGUUUCUGCUCGGAAAACUCAGUCGAACCUUAUCAUUUAGAGGAAGGAGAAGUCGUAACA
rnacentral:rRNA from 1 species